CUGGCGGCGUGACCUAAUACAUGCAAGUCGAACGGUCUUUCUAUGGAAGCUUGCUUCCACUGAGAAGAUAGUGGCGAACGGGUGAGUAACACGUGGGUAACCUGCCCAUAAGAGGGGGAUAACAUCCGGAAACGGGUGCUAAUACCGCAUAGUUUUCUUGAUCGCAUGAUUGAGAAAGGAAAGACGGCCUUUGUGCUGUCGCUUAUGGAUGGACCCGCGGCGUAUUAGUUAGUUGGUGAGGUAACGGCUCACCAAGACGAUGAUACGUAGCCGACCUGAGAGGGUGAUCGGCCACAUUGGGACUGAGACACGGCCCAAACUCCUACGGGAGGCAGCAGUAGGGAAUCUUCCGCAAUGGACGAAAGUCUGACGGAGCAACGCCGCGUGAGUGAAGAAGGUUUUCGGAAUCGUAAAGCUCUGUUGUCAGAGAAGAACAAGUUGGAGAGUAACUGCUCCAGCCUUGACGGUAUCUGACCAGAAAGCCACGGCUAACUACGUGCCAGCAGCAGC
rnacentral:rRNA from 1 species